CGUAGGUGAACCUGCGGAGGGAUCAUUAAAGGGUCGCGUGCCUCGCACGCGGCGUCCUGCCAAACCCUAUGUGAACUUACCACUGUUGCCUCGGCGGCGCCGCGGCUACCCGGGAGCUACCCUGUAGCUACCCUGGAGCUCGCACACCAGGCCCGCCAAAGGACCAUAAACUCUAUUUUGACUUGGAAAUUCUGAAUAAAUCAACUUAAUACGUUAAAACUUUCAACAACGGAUCUCUUGGUUCUGGCAUCGAUGAAGAACGCAGCGAAAUGCGAUAAGUAAUGUGAAUUGCAGAAUUCAGUGAAUCAUCGAAUCUUUGAACGCACAUUGCGCCCAUUAGUAUUCUAGUGGGCAUGCCUAUUCGAGCGUCAUUUCAACCCCUUAAGCCUUGUUGCUUAGCGUUGGGGGCCUACGUCCACAGCGGCGUAGCCCCUGAAAAUUAGUGGCGGAGUCAGUGAGCACUCUGAGCGUAGUAACUAUUCUCGCUUUGGUAGUUUGCCCCUGGCUGCUGGCCGUUAAACCCCCUAUAUUUCUAGUGGUUGACCUCGGAUUAGGUAGGAAUACCCGCUGAACUUAAGCAUAUCAAUAAGGCCGGAGGAA
rnacentral:rRNA from 1 species